UUAUACAGAGUCCCAUGGCUUGGUCACACUUCAAACGAUCUCAACCAUAUUGAAAGAGCUGCAGCUUCCUUUUGAUUUCUUUUUCUUCGAACUGUUUUUAGUCUAAAUUUCUCUUCUUUUGUUUCAAUGAUCAUGUCAUAUCGGUGUUGGCUUGAUGUGUUAUUAGCACCAAACAGUCUUGUAGUUCAAUAAUAUUAAACAUUGCAGACUAGCAGCUGGUUUCGAUUGAAAACAUUUGCUUGCCUGAUUUGCUUUGUUUUAUAGUGUUGAAGGACGUAACCAUGUGCUUGCCAAAUUUGCUUUGUUAGUUUGAAUAGUCUCAUAUAUAUUCCCAUGUUGGUUUUCGAGUAAAAAUAAAACAAAAAACAUUCCAAUGUUGGUGGGCUGAUAAGUUUUGACUAUGCUUUCUUGCUUAAUUUCCGGCACUCGUCGUGUACAAGCAGGAAUCCCACGAUUCCAGAAGUCUUUGCAAGUCUUGAGAGCGCAAAAUAUAGCCAUACAUAGAGAUCUCAGCCAGAUUUCACCCCAUCAAAUCUUAAGGAUCUGGAAAUUUGGACCCUUGAAAUUUGAUCCAACCGCUACAAAUAAGGAGAUCCUUAUAAAAAUAAUAAUAAUUAUAGCCGUUAGAUCAAAUUUUAAAGGUCCGGAUCGCCAAAUCCUUAGAACUUGAUGGGGGAGAUCCGGCUGGGAUCUCUAUCCUACAUAAUUUUCAAAAAAGGUGGAUUGGACAACAUAUUUUAAAAUUAAAAGCUAUCAUGUCAUGGAGGAAAGACCAUACUGGUAAUGCUACACUUACCAUUAUGUUGUACCCAUCACUUGUAUCAUAUAUCUAAUAGAGAUGGGUCUGUCAACGCAUGUGAGUCUCAUCUUUAUUAGAGAGAUAGUACAAGUGAUGAUACAAUUAGAUGAUGAGAAUAGCAUUUUUGCAUAAAACAUGGUUGAUAUUUUGACUGCAUAAAAUAUGGGUGGUGCCGGUGGCGCUUACAAGACUUGCGAGGACUUCUGGAAUCGUGGGUUCGAAACCUAGUGGUAAAUGACGGAUUACGAGGUUUCUUUAAAACUAAAAACUGGAGGUCUUGGGUUUAAAACUCGUUGUUGGUGUGGAAGCCAUAUUUGUGGCCAAAUGAAGAUUUAAAUACCUUUGUGAGUCUUCCUAACCCCCGAAAAUGAUGGAUAAUCGUGGUUUGCCAUCGGUUUUCCCUUUUUUUUUUAAAGAAAAACUAAUAAAAAUGGCUUGAAAACUUUGAGUUUUAACGACAAGGACAAAAUUAAUGGUAAAGUGAAUAGUACCAUGUUUGACUUUUUAGUGUAAAAAUAUGAUUUUUCGUUAAAAUGAACAAUACCGCAGAUUUUUCGUUAAAACUUCUUUUUUUUUUUAAAUAAAAAACAUUGUUGAAAAAGAAGAACUGGUCUUUGAUUAUCAAACUGAUUGGAUACUUUUAUUGACCUAUUAUAUAACUCUUAUAGACUCAUCAUUUCAUCUCAGAAACUUCAUUUUGAAAUUGAUUAGUUUAGUACUUAAAUAUAUUGUAGAAUAAUUAGAUGAGAAUUGUUAUUAGCACUUCAAAAAUCUUAUUUUACAUUCCUCAUAAAUAUAUUUUUCUUUCUAAUUAUAGAAAGUUUAGCAUGCCAAAUGAGAUUUUUGAAGUGUUAAUAACAAUCCCUAAAUUAGAUAGUUAAUUUCUCAUUAAAAAAAAAACAAAAAUACUACUUAAUUCUUGUGGACUGGUCAUUUCACUGUUAUUUUUUCAUCUCGAUAAGUAUGAGAUGGUUGGCCGCCGACACCAAAUUAAUUAGUGAUUCCUAACGCUUACUUCUGGAUUUGGACCCCAUAUGCAUACUUUUUGUGAUGAUUUUAAGAAUUAAAUAUUAUUGGAUAAUCUUUUAUUAUGCAGUAAGAAAUGUUUUUGAAUUUUUUUUAUUUAAAAUUAAACACAAAUAAUAUCUGAUAAAAACUGAUCGUAUGAUGUACAAUAAACAAAUAAAAUAUAAGGAUCCUCACAAACAGAAUCCGGAGAAAAUCCUCAUCCCUUACUUCUCACCACAAAAUAUAGCCAUUCAUAACUUUCAUAAAAGGUGGGCUUGACAACAUGCACGUUGAUUUAUAAUAAGGAUUAUGAGCACGAGAAAGUCGAUGACAUACGUCCCAGCUUCUCAGUUUCUAGCUAGCUCUAUAAAAGGAACUAUUUCCUUCAUUUAUCAUCACAGAAGUUUCAUCUCUAUCGACACUUAUAAUUCUUUUUACUCAUCCUCUUCUGGUAUACAUAAUAUUCUCUGAGUCCUUGAAAUUUGAAGAUAUGGCUUCAGUUGCUACUCAAACCAUGGAUGCAAAGAGCAUCAAAUCGCUUGCGGAAUCACCCGCUCUCGGCUCUGUUCCUUCUGCUUAUGCCUUCAACAUAAACCCCAACGAUGAAGCAGAUCCAAACGAUCCCGAAUUUGCAAUCCCCAUAGUUGAUAUGUCUCUUCUCACAUCGGGAUCUCCUGAUCAACGGUCCAAAAUAAUCCACAACCUCGUCAAAAUUUGCCAAGAAUGGGGCUUUUUCAUUGUAAGUAGUUUAACUAAGUACUAACUACUUCAGUUAUUUUUCAGGAGAAAUAUUUAAGUGACGGUUGCUAGUGUUUUAGAGUUACUUGUAGCAAUUUGAUAAAGAAAACAACAAAAAUGAUACUUUUGUCACAUUUUCAAUAAAACAUUUGUAUCCUCUCUAAUAAAUAUGAGUCCCACAUACAUUACUAUUAGAGAGAUGAGAUAAAUAUGAUAUGAAAAAUGUAAUAAGUGUAGCGUUACUCGAAAAAAAAAAAGCAAGCUAAUUAAUCAUGAUCACGAUCUAUUCAUUCCAGGCAAUUAACCAUGGAGUCCCAGAGAGUCUAAUGAAGGGGAUGAUUGACGCGUGCCAUGGAUUUUUCAGCCUCCCAGACGAAGAGAAGGAGGAGUUCAAAUCCGGAAAUGAUGUGCUGGAGAUGUUCAAGUACGGAACCAGCUACAAUCUUGCAUUAGACAAAUUUCUUCUCUGGAGGGACUUCUUCAAGGUGAGAGUACAUCCCGAGUUCUACUCCCUCUACAAACCGGCUUGCUUCAGUGAGGUUUCAAUGGAGUUCAGCAAGAGAACAAGAGAAGUAGCAUUGGAGAUAACACGCGCAAUCUCCGAAAGUUUGGGACUGGAGCCCAAUUACAUCCAUGAUGCGAUGAACAUGGAUCGCGGCCUACAAAUGCUCGCCGCCAACUACUAUCCGCCUUGCCCUCAGCCAGAACAUGCAAUUGGUAUACCACAUCACACUGAUCAUGGCCUUGUCACCCUCCUCAUCCAGAAUGAGAUGAAUGGCCUCCAAGUUGAACAUAAUGGCAAGUGGCUCACCGUCAAUGGCCCUGCCAACGGUUUCUUUGUCAACCUCGCUGACCAAAUGCAAAUUCUUACUAAUGGCAAAUACAAAAGUGUGAUGCAUCGGGCAACUGUGAACAGCAAAGCGACGAGGAUAUCUAUUGCCAUACCACAUGGACCAUCUGUUGAUACACUUAUCGCACCGGCACCGGAGUUACUGGAAAAAGAAGGCCAAGCUCCGAAAUACAUUGGAAUGAAUUAUAAGGAGUAUAUCCAGCUUCAACAGAGCGGCAAGAACUACAUGAAAUCCACCUUUGAUCACAUACUAGCGUAACUGAGCUUUAUACAGAGUCCCAUGGCUUGGUCACACUUCAAACGAUCUCAACCAUAUUGAAAGAUCUGCAGCUGCCUUUUGAUUUCUUUUUCUUCGAACUGUUUUUAGUCUAAAUUUCCUUCUUUUGUUUCAAUGAUCAUGUCAUAUAGGAGUUGGCUUGAUGUGUUAUUAGCACCAAACAGCCUUGUAGUUCAAUAAUAUUUAAGCAGUUUUAGCGAAAUACUUCUGGUACUGUUUAUUUUUAACGAAAAACCACAUUUUUACGUUUUCUUAGUAUUAUUUACUACACCUUUAUUUGUCAUUUUUUAUUAAAACAAAAGUUUUUAUAGAUUUUUCGAUAGUUUCCUUAACAUUUAUAUUAUCAAACAUCGCAGACUAGCAGCCAGUUUCGAUUGAAAAUAGGCUUCAGUUUUCAGGGGAUGGGGCUUUCAAUAUAUUUGGUCUUUUAAGCCAAUGAUUGAUUUGAAAUUGAGCAUAAAAAAUAAGGAAAACUAAUGAAAAUGGUUUGAAAACUUUGAGUUUUAACGAUAAAGACAAAAUAAAUGAUAAAAUAAAUAGUACAAGAAUUGAUUUUUUAGUGUAAAAUAUGAUUUUUCGUUAAAGUAAACGGUACCGGGAGCUUUUCAUUAAAGUUCUUGUUUGUACCAUACUUGACCAAUCCCGAAACUACAACUAAGCUUCAAGUGAAAUUGAUACAUUACCUUGUGCGUCAACAUCAGCUAAAUACACCAUUCCCGGAUGGAGGAAAGGUACUUCCAGAGAAGGGCAGAUGAAGAUCAGACCACACUUCGGUACUUAGAAGUUUCGUGAUUACUCAAGGGAUUGGAUCUUGCAAGUCCCCAACCGAGGAGUUUCCCUCACUCGGGAACUUAGGGGAGCACUGUUUGUACCAUACUUGACCAAUCCCGAAACUACCGAGCACCGGCCAACGCUAUACUGUCAAGGACCCAGAAGAGUUCCCCUCCGACCAGGAGGCCAAUCACUACUCGACACGUGUCAAGAUUAGAAGCCAAUCAGAGCGCAGCACGUGUCGACAUCAAGAACCAAUCAUAACAUGACACAUGUCAAUGUGACAAAGCUACAAGUUUUUCUAUAAAUAGGGGUCAUUCCCCCACAAUAUUGGCUAAUGCCAUUUGUGUCAAAUCAUUCACAAGAACUCACUAAAUUGAGAGCUUGAUCCUUUGUACUUGUGUAAGCCCUUCACUACUAAUAAGAACUCCUAUACUCCGUGGACGUAGCCAAUCUGGGUGAACCACGUACAUCCUGUGUUUGCUUCUCUGUCUCUAUUCAUUUACGUACUUAUCCUCACUAGUGACCGAAGCAACCAAGCGAAGGUCACAAAACCUGACACUUUCUGUUGUACCAAAGUCUUCGCUGAUUUUGUGCAUCAACAUUUGGCGCCGUCUGUGGGAAACGACACUUAUUCCUACUCUCUUCAGCUGUGUCAAGCUGGUUUCUAUCAUUCGUACACUUUCUUUUGAUCAGGCAUCCCUCUCCAGCAUGGGAAGCGAAGGAAGCCACAGCACACAGAAUGACACCCCCAUUGCACAUAGUGCGAAACAACGAAAGAAGGAAGGAAAACGAGUUCUUCUUCAAGCUAAAGUCGAUGAGUUGGAAGCUCAGAACAACAAGAUAGCAAUGAAGAAUGAGGUCCUCCAGGAGCAAUAUGAGAAGCUCUUCGAGACAUUCCACGAAGCUAGGCAAGCUCAGACACGCGAGCUUGUUGCCCCCGUGGAAGUCAACCAUCAACUGGGUGCCCUCCAACAUGGAGGGUCACAUGCAUUCGACAUAGAUAUCCCUGAUAGGGAACAAAUUACCCCUCGAUUUGAUAAUCAACAUGAGGCUUCUCUUAACCCAGUUGCUUCGACCCGAACCAUGAGAAGCGGAGGGAGACACCUCUUUGCUGAAGGGGCAGAAGGAUCGAAAGCCGUCUUUCGCGAUUGUCGGGAUUUCCUGAAGCAACGUCGAGAGAAUUCCAUCCAUAUAAGCUCAAAGAUCAAUGACCCCAAGGAUUUCUGAGAGACUCGGUCCCCUGCCACGGCCCGAGCCGGCCACCAACUUGGGGAAGGUGCAACAAGUCCUAGAGAGACAUGAGGGUACAGGGGACUCAGAGGUGUUCCGACAGACAUACCCUGGAAGCCAGUACAGCGAGUCCAGGGAAAAAUCACAUGCCCUUGAUCAAACCUUCCUAAUUCCAAGAGGAGAUGGAGAUUUACGAAAGAAAGCUCCAGUGGCACAUAACUCCGCUCAGGACCGCCUUGUCCUACAACUUCUUGAGGAAGUAAACAAGUUGAAGGCUGAACGUCAGGCUGAAAUACCUGACUGGAACCAACCCAGGCCUGGCCCUCUUACAAGGAGGAUCCUCAACACCCCCCUUCAAGCAAAGACAAAGCAGAAGCUUGGCUUGCAACUUUAUACUGGAAAAGAGGACCCGAUUGAGCACCUUAACCUCUUUGAGUCCACCAUGGCAUACCGGAUGCACACCGACGAAGAGCGAUGUCUUCUCUUCCCCUCCACCCUCUCUGGCGGAGCUCUAAAUUGGUAUUGUCGUCUUACACCUGAGACGGUAGACUCAUUUGAGGAAUUGAGGAAACUAUUUGUUUCCCAACACAUUUUCCAAACCGAUCGCUUGCACUCUGCAGAUGACCUGUACACUAUCCGCCAGAGGCCAGACGAGUCAUUACGUAUGUAUGCUGGCCGCUUUCAGCCAUGAAUACUCCCGGUGUGCCGAGGCAGACGACAAGACUGCCCUCAAAGCCUUCACGGUAGGCCUACGUGAUUGUUUCUUUAAAUACAUGAUCAAUGCCAAUACUUGGAAGACUUACUCUGAGGUGAUGGCGCAGGCUUAUAACCAUGCCUCCGCCGAGGCAAAGACAUAUCAGGAGAAACCCCCUCACCCAACGCCAUGGAGGAAGAACUAGCAAUAGCUAAAGUUUGACGGUUGGAAAGAUCAUCCAAUGUUUCUCUAGUACAGGACUCUAACAAAGACCCUGAAGACUCCGACAUUGCAGACUCAGACUUAGAGCUAAAGCUAGAAGAGCCCUCAUCACUAGAACUUCCAGGCUCUGACAUCUACAAUAAGAAGAAACAAAUUCUAUCACUACAUGCAUGAUCAAAACAUAAGGAAGUUCCUAUAUUACCCACAUGAAGAUGGUGCAAAGCGAUGCCGGAACCCUUCUCAAUCAGAAAGCAAUCCGUCUUCCACAGUCACUACAAAAAACAAGCAAAUGAAGACCGUGUCAAGCGCCAAAAAAAAAAAAAAAAAAAAAAAAAACAGCUUCAUCCAAAAAAGCUUCACCCGAAAAGCUUCACCUCCAAAACUUCACCCAAAAAGCUUCAUCCAAAAAGUUUCACCCAAAAAGCUUCACCUAAAAAAGCUUCACCCAAAAAAAAAAACUUCACCUCCAAAAAGCUUCACCCAAACAGCUUCACCUAAAAAAGCUUCACCCACAAAGCUUCACCUAAAAAGCUUCACCCACAAAGCUUCACCCAAAAAGCUUCACCUCCAAAACUUCACCCAAAAAACUUCAUCCAAAAAGUUUCAUCCAAAAAGCUUCACCUAAAAAAGCUUCACCCAAAAAAAAAAAAAAAAAAAAAAAAAAAAAAAAAAAAACUUCACCUCCAAAAAGCUUCACCCAAACAGCUUCACCUAAAAAAGCUUCACCCACAAAGCUUCACCUAAAAAGCUUCACCCACAAAGCUUCACCCAAAAAACUUCACCCGAAAAGCUUCACUUAAAAAAGCUUUACCUACACAGCUUCACCUAAAAAAGCUUCACCUAGAAAGCUCCCUCUACAUACUUUCACCUACAAAGCUUCACCAUCAAAAGCUUCACCUCGAAAGCUUCAUCUACAAAGCUUCAUCUACAAAAGCUUCACCAUCAAAGCUUCACCCAAAAAGCUUCACCUAAAAAAGCUUCACCCAAAAAAAAAACUUCACCUCCAAAAAGCUUCACCCAAACAGCUUCACCUAAAAAAGCUUCACCCACAAAGCUUCACCUAAAAAAGCUUCACCCACAAAGCUUCACCCAAAAAACUUCACCCGAAAAGCUUCACUUAAAAAAGCUUCACCUACAAAGCUUCACCUAAAAAAGCUUCACCUAGAAAGCUUCACCUACAUAGCUUCACCCAGAAAGCUUCACCAUCAAAGCUUCACCUAGAAAGCUUCAACACCAAAGCUUCACCUACAAAGCUUCAACACAAAACCUUGCUCCAAAUAAACAAAUUUUGUUCACAAAACCCAAGAUGCCCUUGAACUUGUACAAAAACACAGGUCAACACAAACAUUUGUUUUGUUUUACACCCACAAGGGCAUCCCUGUCAUAACCAAACAAGCAAUUAUGUAUAUGUUUCCAAACAUAUUAUAAUAGAUCCAACAACAAGCCAAAGUCCCAAGUUUCAUAAUGGACAAAAGUACAAGCAAUUCAUCAAUAAUGAAGGUGCUACAAAACUUGGAAUCUGCCCCAAAAUAGAAAUCCAACCCAAGAGACUUUUUCUCUCUCUCCCUCUUCCGCCUCCUUUCAUCUAUCAAAUUUCUGCAACCUCUGCUCUUCUCCAAUGGAGCUGAAUUUUUGGACACCCUAUAGUUUUUGAGCAUAUGAACAACUUUCAAGAAGGAACCAUUUCUGUUUGAGCGACGGAAAUUAAAGUGUUGAAGCUCCAAACAUGACAGUCGGAUUCUUGCAGAUUUCGAAGCUGCUAUGAUGUUUCGAAGAUCUGGAAAUAUUUAACCAUUAGUUCAUUCUGAAUUUUUGAUAUGUUAUGAAAGAGACGAUGAGGCACAACUUCAAUGAAGAAAGCAUGCUGAUCUGAACAAUAGAAAAUGGAGUUUCGAAGCUCACAACAAAUCUGACGGGUUGACAGAAAAAUAAUAACCAGUCAUUCAUCAUACCUGAAUUUCUUGAGUUAUAUAGCUCCGAGGGAUCUCAAAUUUGGAUAUGUUGUAGUUCACAAGCUGAGGAACAACUUCAAUGAAGAAAGCAUGCUGAUCUGAGCAAGAGAAAAUAGAGUUUCAAAGCUCACAACAAAUCUGACGGGUUGACAGACAAAUGAUAAACAGUCACUCAUCAUACCUGGAUUUCUGGAGUUAUACUGCUCCGAGGGACCUCAAAUUUGGAUAUGUUGUAGUUCACAAGUUAAGGAACAACUUCGAUGAAGAAAGUAUGUUGAUCUGAACAAGAGAAAAUGGAGUUUCGAAGCUCACAACAAGUCUGACAGGUUGACAGAAAAAAAUGAUGAACAGUCACUCAUCAUACCUGAAUUUCUGGAUUUGUACUGCUCCGAUGGAUCUCAAAUUUGGAUAUGUUGUAGCUGACAAGGUGAGGAACAACUUCGAUGAAGAAAGUAUGUUGAGAUGAACAAGAAAAAAUGGAGUUUAGAAGCUCACAACAAGUCUGACGGGUUAACAGAAAAAUUGAUGAACAGUUACUCAUCAUACCUGAAUUUCUGGAGUUGUACUACUCCGAUGGAUCUCAAAUUUGGAGAUGUUGUAGUUCACAAGAUAAGGAACAACUUUCAUGAAGACGACUUUGCGAUCUGAGUUAUAGAGAAAUGGUGUUAUCUUGCAUCCACUCAGGCUGAUUAGUGGAAACGAAAAAGCAAUUCCACCAAAGAAAAGAUGAAAAAGAGAGAAAAGCUACUAAUUGCACUUGAUCUUGUCUAGUCAAUAGCAUGCAGCAUCAAAACACACAAAAGUUGGAAAUAUUUUUAGAUAAGGCAUAUGCGAAUGUGUGACAUCGAAACAAGGAUUCGUUACUUUGACAAAUUAGUAACAAGCGAGACACCUCAUUCGGCAACUCUCUUCGCCUGAAGACUUGGGGGACUCCCACCAUAUGCUACUGCACCUUAAUACUCGGCAGUCUCACAACCACUCAGUGACUUGGAUUUUUCAAGUCUCCAACCGAGAAGUUUUCCUCACUCGGGAAAUUAAGGGAACACUACCUCAAACUACAUGCUUCACUCACAAAGCUUCAACAAUACAGGUUUCAACAAAAGCAAAAAUUCAAAAAGAACUUUAUGAAGAAGGCUUUGGUGUAUUUAACACAAUAUAUUUGAAAUGAAGCAAAGCUUAUUUAUUAAUAUUUUCGAUAAGCCACAAAUAUGUACAUAUACAUGAGUCAAAAAUAAACAAACAAAAGGGAGCCUUCACAAAGGUUGCUUAGGGGAAGUCUCAGCAGUCGGUAGAGCCCCAGAAAGAGAAAGCACCGGAGGGGUGGUUAUCCGGAGCCUCAGUACUUGACAAAACCCCAGAAGGAGGAGGCAUUGGAGGUUCAUCAUUUGAAGCUUCAUUACCAGGUACAGCCCCAGAGGACGAAGGCAAUAAAUGCCUUUGGAACAAACCCACAAACCGCUGAUGAUCAAGUAAAACCUUACCAUCAGAUUCCUUCAUCUGGUCAAGCUUCCUCUUCAUGUUUGUAGCAUAGUCAUGGGCGAGCCGGUGCAACUGCUUAUUCUCAUGCUUGAGCCCUCUAAUCUCCUGUUUGAGACUCAUCACUUCAGCAGCCAAUGAUUCAACUUGGCGGGUUCUAGCAAAUAGGCGUUGGGCCAUAUUAGACACAGAACCUGCACACUGAACACUAAGAGCCAGAGAGUCCUUAACAGCCAACUCAUCAGACCGUUUGGAAAGUAGUCUGUUAUCUUUGGGAGUGAGAAGGUUCCUGGCCACCACUGCAGCGGUCAUAUCAUUCUUCAUCACAGAAUCCCCAACGGUAAGAGGACCAGUAGGGGAUAUGAAGGAUGGGCGCCAUAUGUUGUCUGGAGAAGGCGUGGCUGUCUCUUCUCCAAGGUUCAAGUCAAAACGACGGUCGGAGGGUCCAGACAUUUUCAAAUGUGUUGAAGAAGGAAGAGGUCAGACAAAUCAAGAUCUUAGAAGUGCAAGAAAUGAGCUUCUACUGGUAGAGAUUCAAGUGUGCUGUGGAACUUAAUGCCAGCCUCUAUAAAAAUCUGCACUCGACGGAGCUUUCAGAAAUCGAAGAGGCGUUUGCUUUCUCAAAAGCUGGGCUGCUCAGAGACCACGAGGGCCGAUCUCAGAAAUCGAAGAGGCGUUUGCUUUCUCAAAAGCUGGGCUGCUCAGAGACCACGAGGGCCGAUCUCAGAAAUCGAAGAAGCACCUGCUUUUUCAGCCUCGUCAGCACCUGUCACAUGCACAAUCAGCUUUGCGAAAAAUUACGGGCAAUCUGUCGAAGAUUUCUGGUGAAGUAGAAAGCACGUGAAUCUUACUGUUCAAUCACCGCUCUCCAUAUGCACCAUCAACUCCUCGGGUACCACAUAUAACUUUGUCAAAGAUCUCUGACAAAGUUUAGGCACGAGAAUUUCGAAGUUCCAGCUACCCUACUAUUACCCAUAAGGGUAAAGGAACAGCACCACUGCUUGACAACUGGAAAGUCCCUAUGUGUGUCGACCUCCGUGUUUUGCGGCAAGACAGGUUGGCAAGAACGUCCAACCUUUACUCACAUUCGAGAAAAGACUCCCAACAUAAUUACUUUCUCAAAAACCGGAGUAGCACCGCUUUCCGAAUCUCGAGAGUCAGAUCCUCGACGGGAUUGCUUGUUCGAAAACCGAAGAGGCACAACUCUCAGAACUUCGAGAGCCAGAUUUCCUUAGAUAAAGCUUGUCUGUAAUCUUCACACGUAACAUCAGCUUUCCAGAUACCACAUACCACUUUUUCAAAGUGCUCUGACAAAAUUAAAACACGUGAAGCUGGCAGCUCCCACUACAUUGCUGUGACCAAGAAGGGUAAAGGAAUAUCAUUACUACUUGUUAUUGGGAAAUCCCUAUAUACAUUGACCUCCCUCCUCAACGGACAGGCAAACCUGCAAAAAUGCUCAACCCUUUCUCUCGCAUUCGAAAAGGCACCCUCAACAUAACCUCUCGAAAUACUCAGCUUUAUUUCCCCCCGAUAUUACCUCAGCAAAUAAGCCACACCAAGAACAAGAGUAUCUCAUAUCAUCAGGGUCGAAAGCAAGAGUAUCCCAUAUCAUGCUUUCUCCCUAUCUUUGUCUUUGUCCUUGUCCACACCUGCAGGACAAGGAGAAAGAGAGCAGUCAGUCGGAACCUGAAAUCAAACCUCCAAUUUGGAACUGACUGCCUGGAGCCUUUGCCUGGUUGCUUACUUAGCAUUGCUCUCGAGUACUCAUCCUCAACUGCUGUCAAGGUCACGAAUUCCACCGGCAAAUACCUCAUGACAGUUGAUCAGAUAUUGGCUCUUUACACUGAAGCUGCCAAGCGUGGAUGAGUCACUAUGAAGGAAUGUUCUGAAGGACCAUUUAAAUGCAAAGGUUGCACACCACUUCUGUCAUGCAAAAGAUUGAAGCAGAAGGUUCAACGGUGAGCUGAAACAGAUCACUACAGCACGACACUUUUCCAUACCACAUUCAUUAUUCCGUCAACAGCAAAAGUAUCCCAUAUCAUCAAGGUCGAACGUACUCUAGAUUUGAUGGACUUGUUUUGACCCUCAAAUUUUUGAGUCGGCCUUAUACUCUGAAGGGCACCAGAAAACCCUCCAGCACAGUUCAAGAAUAAGCCUGUGGAAAGUUACUUCUUCAAAAGCAAAAGUAUCUCAUAUCAUCUCUUAUCCAUUUGCUUCUCCUUAUCCUGGCAGUUGAAUGAGAGACAAGGAGAAGGAGAACAAUCAACCGGAAGCCGAAGUCAAACCUCUGAUCCUGGGUUGCUUACUUGGAAGUUUGACUGCUUACCUUGUCUGUCACCUCUUUCGGCAGAUCUCCUAGCUCGGCGACUUGGGGGACUCCUACUAUAGGGUUUGUAUCACACUUGACUAAGCCCGAAACUACAACUAAGCUUCAAGUGAAAUUGAUAUAUUACCUUGUGCGUCAACAUCAGCUAAAUACACCAUUCCCGGAUGGAGGAAAGGUACUUCCAGAGAAGGGCAGAUGAAGAUCAGACCACACUUCGGUACUUAGAAGUUUCGUGAUUACUCAAGGGAUUGGAUCUUGCAAGUCCCCAACCGAGGAGUUUCCCUCACUCGGGAACUUAGGGGAGCACUGUUUGUACCAUACUUGACCAAUCCCGAAACUACCGAGCACCGGCCAACGCUAUACUGUCAAGGACCCAGAAGAGUUCCCCUCCGACCAGGAGGCCAAUCACUACUCGACACGUGUCAAGAUUAGAAGCCAAUCAGAGCGCAGCACGUGUCGACAUCAAGAACCAAUCAUAACAUGACACAUGUCAAUGUGACAAAGCUACAAGUUUUUCUAUAAAUAGGGGUCAUUCCCCCACAAUAUUGGCUAAUGCCAUUUGUGUCAAAUCAUUCACAAGAACUCACUAAAUUGAGAGCUUGAUCCUUUGUACUUGUGUAAGCCCUUCACUACUAAUAAGAACUCCUAUACUCCGUGGACGUAGCCAAUCUGGGUGAACCACGUACAUCCUGUGUUUGCUUCUCUGUCUCUAUUCAUUUACGUACUUAUCCUCACUAGUGACCGAAGCAACCAAGCGAAGGUCACAAAACCUGACACUUUCUGUUGUACCAAAGUCUUCGCUGAUUUUGUGCAUCAACAGUUCUCAUACCCAAUACAAAUAAAUAAAUAAACAAAUAAACAAAUAAAAUAUUAAUUUAUAUAUUUGGUUCAAUUCAGAACCAUCAAAAUCGAAAUUGUACCAAUAGUUUUUGGUUUGGUUUUCAAUUGAUUUGGUCUUUCCAGUUUCAGUACAGUGUUCAAUCAUUAUUUUCGGUUUUCCAAGCCCACUCCUAAGAUAUAGAUUAAGUUACACAGAUAUUCCAAAUAUAUAUACACGUACAACAAAACAUCUUAAUAAUGUAGAGUUGAAUUUGUACACUUUCCUAAGUUAUCUUUCACUAAACGAGAAAAGAGUUUAACGGGACUGUUUAGUUUUCCGAUUAAACUUAUCGAUACUAGCUUUUGGCCAUCACCGGAUUCUGGUACAGCUUCUCCGUAACCAAGUUCCGUUAGAGGUUAGAUAUGUCGUACGUACAUUUUGUUAAUUAGAUGAUCAAUUCCAUUAGUUUUACAUUAAUUGUUGUAAAAUUAACCAUGUGCUUGCCUUGUAUAUUAUUAUAUAUGUCGAGGACUUAAAAUCAUAGAAUAAAAUCUAGUUAAAAGAAAAGAGCGUACAAUUAAAAGUGACAAUGUGCUUGCCCGAUUGCUUUCAUUUCCUUAUGUCAGUGAUUGUCUCGUAAUUCAAAUGUUGGUGAACCACAGCAAGUGGUCAGUGGUAAGGGCACGAACUAUGGCUUCCUAAUAAAAAAAAAGUGGGAGGUUUCAAGUUCGUUGUUCCGAGUUGGUGAAUCUGUUUGACUAUGGUCACGGGCAGGGUGAAAUUCCCUAUAACCUCUCUGGGUUCAGAAGUGAUAGAUAACCGUGGUUUGCCACUAGUUAUCUCAUUUUUAGAAAAAAUAAAAUAAAAAGGAAAAAAAAUUGGUGGGCUGUUCGGUUUGACUACACUUCCUUUGCUUUCCAAGCAUCCCACGGCAAAGAAAAUAUGCAAUAGAUCCAUAACCAUAUGAGAGGGACCCAAACUAUCGGGUGACAAAUCAACUUAUUAGAAUGUUAACAAAUAAACAUUUGGACUCUUUUGGUUUGAUUUUAUCAUAAUAGGGUGGUAAGAUUGAUAGGGGAGAUGAUGGUGUAAUAUCUUAUUAUGGUGAAAUCAAACUAAAUGAGUAUUAAUUAUUUCCGUUAAUGUCUAAUGAGUUGAUUUGUCAAUCUAUUUAGCGCUAUUCUAGAAGUCCUGGAAAGUGUUGAGAGUAACACCCCACGUGUCAAGAUACAUGUGGGAAAUAAGUUGGGAUAUUUGGAAAUAUAGCCAUUUUUUAAAUCACUUUUUGAAAUAUAACCUACAUUUUCUAAUUUUAUAAAACUAAACCAAAAUUACAAUUAAAAAGACAUAAUUACCCUUAACCUUCUAUAAACACUCCUGUGCUGUCUUUAGACUCCUCAUCUCCAUUGAAACACCACCACCAAACUUCAUCUAGUGAUCCUGCCAAGCAGUAACUGCAAUUAAAAAGACAUAUUGGAUCGGCUACAAUAGUAUGGCGUAAGGCUUCUCCUGGGAAGAAGGUUGGUUUCAUUGCUGCUAGGUGGACUAGUGGUCUCAGAGGACAAGUUGCUGCAAACGUCUCUAAGGCAGACAAGUGAUGAGAUUACAUUUUCGACUUUUUCUAUAUUUGCCGUGUUUGGACUGUUUAUAUUUUAUUCAAAACUAGUUUGGAGCGUUUUGUGGAGGAAAUUUUGUUUAAGAAAAAAAAAACAACGAGGACAAAGAUUUAGAAAAGAAACACCACGAUUCUGGAAGCGAGGAAUGUUUUAAACUAAGGGCAAUAAGACUUUUUAACUUCAAUUUUGGUUAGUUUUAUAAUAAAUGAAAAAUGUAGGUCAUAUUCCAACAGGUGAUCUCUAAAAUGGCUAUAUUUCCAAGUUUCCCAAGUAAGUUAAGGCUUUCAACAAAAAUUUCAACUGACCGUUGUGUUUGUUGAACUGCAUUGCUGAUUCUAAGGUUAUUGACCAACUUAGCUUGAAUUAAUAUGGAAUUGAACAUAGAUAAAAAGGUCAUCAUCAAUUAGUUACUUGCAUUGGUCACCUAAUUAGGUUGUUUUUUAAUUAUUAUUAUUUUUUUUUUUUAGUUUUGCGAAUGAUUAGGUAUGCAUCUUAAUAAAAGAAAUGUUACACUUUGUUUAGGAAAAAUAUGAGGUUUUCCACCACACAUUAAUAUAAGAGUAAUUUUUAUCCUCAUGCAAUCUCAGUACUACAUGAAGAGCGUGAUAGCGUACUUUUAGCUCCCAGAUCAAUUGAUAUGCCAAAAUAGAAAUGAAUUUAUAGGAGUUCGAACUCAAAUUGAGAGUUUCAGAUCUUUACUCGCUUUCCACUAGACCAAGUUCCAAAUAUUGACUCACUUUCCACUAGACCAACCAAGUAGAGAUGCAUACCCACAGCCGACUGAUUGAUUUGAAGGUUGAUAUUGGUAAAACUGUAUUUCCAAAGCUUGAUCUUCCCAGAUCUCCUCAAAAUUUCAAAUUCAAUUUAUAUAUUCUUCUUCAUAUCCUUUAUUCAAUCUUCAUGCAUGAACGAUGCACAUUGGAGUAUUAUACAAAACAAAACCACCUUUGAUCCUUUAUAUGCAUUUUGAUACCUGUUGAAAAAAUUAAUAUUCCACCGCACAAUAAUUUUUAUUUUCUUAAAAAAUUGGACAACUGGUGGCAAGCUACGGUUAUCCACUCCUAAGCCAUACCACAUGGACGAUCUGUUGAUAAAAUUAUUGUACCGGCACCAGAGUUGCUAGAAAAAGAAGGCCAAGCUUCAAAAUACAUUGGAAUGAACUAUAAGGAGUAUGUCCAGCUUCAACAAAGCUGCAAGAACUAAAUGAAAUCCACCUUUGAUCACAUACUAGCGUAACUAAGCUUUAUACACAGUCCAAUGGCUUGGUCACAGUUCAAGCGAUCUCAACCACAUUGAAAGAGCUGCAGCUUCCUUUUGGCUUCCUUUUCUUCGAACUGUUUUUUGUCAAAAUUUCUCUUCUUUUGUUUCAGUGAUCAUGUCAUAUUCGGUGUUGGCUUGAUGUGUUAUUAACACCAAACAGCUUUGUAAAUUGUACGUAGUUCAAUCAUAUCAAACAAUCUUAGACUAGCAGCCAGUUUCGAGUGAAAAAGAAAGAUAACGGAUUCAAAUCAAGUGGUCCGUCAUCAAGUGAAAAAGAAAACAAGGUUCAUGAGCAGAAUAGCAGCACAUCAGUUUUAAUAUAUAACCCAUUAAAAUAAGACAGAAGAAAGAGAAAGAAAUAUCAAAUCAAGCGCAACUUUUGGAAUCCACAAUAACCAUAAGCAGCCGGUCCAGAGGUUUUUGAGGCUCGGGGCUAUAUAAAAAAAAGUGUCAUAACUUCAUGUAAGAAAAUUAUUUAUUUUCACACAUAAAACAUUAAAAAAAUUAUACUUAGAAAAACACUUCAAACUCAAUAAUUUAGAAACACAGAAAGACUAAUUUAUUUUGUAUUGAGAGAGGGAAACAAAAAACUUCGGACUUACAAGUAGAUAGAUGAUGAGUUUUGUUUUCCAUCUGAAUUUUGAAUGUGUUUUUGAAUAAAUCGUGAGAUUUUUUUUUUCUUAUUUACUAACCUUGUCAAUAUGAGACUAAAAAAUAAUGAUGUUUCGAGUCUUUAAUUGAUAUGUAUUAUUAAUGAAUGGGCACUAAAUUAAAUAUUUUGAUGACAUGUUAUAUAAUUUGCAAAUUUGGUCUACAUAUUAUUCUUUGUUGAAGAUUAGACUUGAAUUAAAACAAAUAUUUAAAAAUAACAACCCACAUAGCUACUAUAUAGUAACUAAAAAUAAAUUAACAACCAAACAAAAAAUUGUAAAAAUUGAAAAAAAAUAAACAUGGCACAUAGCAUUUCGAACUUAGGACCCCUUGUUAAUUUUAAACAACAAAAAUCAUUGUUUCUAAUUAAACUUCUUAAUCCUUUAACCAAAUUUUAUAAAUUUAUACUCUUAUAAAAACAAAUUUGUUUGUUUCUAAUUAAACUUCUUGAUCCUUUAACCAAAUUUUAUAAAUUUAUACUCUUAUAAAAAUAACUUUGUAAAAAAUGGAAAGUAAAUAAGCACACAUGGUGUUUUGAACAUAAGACCUCCUCAUUAUUUUCAAAUGACAAACCACCACUUCUAGUUAAAUUUUUGUGUCUUUGAACCAAAUUUUAUAAAUUUAUACUCUUAUAAAAACAUAUAUAAAUAUAUCACCCUAAUAAUUUUGGUGUCCCUAAUUUUUUUGGGUCAUGGACGGUCGUCCUGCCUGCACUGGGCCUGGGCCGACCUUGGCCCCAGACACCGAGGAAGACAUAAUCAACAAGAAAUAUAUCAAACAGAUGGAUAAAUCCUUUGCAUUUAAGAGACGGAGUUACAGAUAAAGAUAAAGAAAUAGAAAGAAGAGGGGAAAGAAGGAAGAGGCAAGGAGAAAGAAGGUGGGAGAGAAGGAAGGCGGGAGAGAAGGAAGAGGCAAAGAGAAAGAAUGUGGGAGAUAAGGAAGGCGCCAGGGAAUACAAAAAAGGAGAAAGAGAGAAUAUGGGAGAGACAGAUGAGACGGCAGGAAAAAAAAAAUCUAAUGAAAAAGAUUUUAAAAUUCUGGAUGUUAACUAAACAUUCUUUAAUAAUUUUAUUUAAUGGUUAGGACAACGCUCAAUACUAAAUCAGUCUAAUUAAAAUGACUCAAAGUAAUAUGUUUUCUAUUUUACCCCUAACAGCAAAUGAACAUAUGCCGUCCCUCCCUCUUUCUUUUAUUUUUUAUUUUUAUUUUUUUUUCCCGAGCAUCCCGGCUGCUUCCUGUGGGCCGCAAUCAAUAAAAGCCCCUCCCUCCUCUUACCUCUGCUACAUUCCUCCAUUAAUAAUAAAAAAGGACAAGAGUUGAUUUUCUGACCCACAUUACUCACACAUGUCUCUCUCAAUCAUUAUAGUUAUGCCUGGUAAUUCCUAACACGAUCCAAUAAUUCGACACGAUAAGACACAAAAUUAACAGGUGUUUAGAUCGAUACGAUAACGAAUCGAGUCUUAUCGGGUAACCCGAUACGCACCUUUUAAGAUAAUGGGUUGGUUCGAGUAUACACGUGGGUAACACGAUACACGAUAAGCAAAAUAUUAAUUUUAUAAUUUUAUAACCCUAAAAAAAUACUAUAAUAAUUAUAUAUAUAUAUAUAUAUAUAUAUUAAUUUAACAAUUUUAUACCCCUAAUAACUAUAAUAAUUAUAUAUAUAUAUAUAUAUAUUAAAUUAACUACUAAAUUGGUGACCAUUGGAUCGGCUUAAAUAUACAUACCAUUCAAUUUCUUAAGUGUUAUACGUACAAAAUAAAUAAAUUUAAAUCUACUUAAUGAAUAUAUAUAUAUAUAUAUAUAUAUAUACCAUUAAACUUGAUGGGAUACGAAUUCUACGAAACUAAUUUCAACGAUCUAACCGUCAACCUUGUUUGUAUAUGCUUUGAGAUCGCAUCAGCAAAAAAUUGCAAAAAACAAACAUUCAGAUAUUAAGUAAGGGAACAAAACUUUUCGACGGUUAUCAACGAAAAAUCACUAUUUAACAGUUAUUUUAACUCCGAUUUUGAUGAUUUUUUUACAGUUACACUCAUUGACCCUAUAUGAAUAAAAUGAAUGAACUCGAUCUUCAAUUCAAAAUAUUCACACUAGUGGAUACUACAAAAUCUUAUAUUAUACUUAAUAAAAGUAUGAAUAAACUCUUAAGUGUUAGUAAAUCUAUUGUUUUGAUGAGAUACGCAUUCUACGAAACUAGUUUCAACGAUCCAACCAUCAAACAUGAUUGUAUAUGCUUCGAGAUCGCAUACACCAAAAAUUGAAAAAAACAAACAUUCAGAGAUCAAGCAACGGGAUAAAACUUUUCGACAGUUAUCAACUAAAAAUCACGAUUUAACGGUUGUUUUAACUCCGAUUUUGAUGAAUUUUUACAGCUACACUACUUGACCCUAUAUGAAUAUAAUGAAUAAAUUCGAUCUUUAAUUUAAAAUAUUGGCACUAGUGGAUGUGGAUACCACAAAAUCUUAUGUUAUAUUUAAUGAAAGUAUAAAUAAACUCUAAGUGUUAGUGAAUCUAUCGUUUUGAUGGGAUAUGCAUUCUACGAAACUAAUUUCAACGAUCCAACCGUCAAACUUGUUUGUGUAUGCUUCAAGAUUGCAUACGCUAAAAAUCGCAAAAAAUAAACAUUCAGAGAUAAAGUAACAGGACAAAACUUUUUGACGGUUAUCAACGAAAAAUCAUGAUUUAACGAUUAUUUUAAAUCUGAUUUUGAUAAUUUUUUUUACAGCUACACUCCUUGACCCUAUACGAAUACAAUGAAUGAGCUCGAUCUUCAAUUUAAAAUAUUUACACUAGUGGAUACCACAAAAUCUUAUGUUAUACUUAAUGAAAGUAUGAAUAAACUCUUAAAGUGUUAGUGAAUCUAUUGUUUUGAUGGGAUACAUAUUCUACAAAACUAGUUUCAACGAUCCAACCGUCAAACAUGUUUGUAUAUACUUCGAGAUCGCAUACGCCAAAAAUUGCAGAAAACAAACAUUCAGAGAUCAAGUAAUGGGACAAAACUUUUCGACGGUUAUCAACGAAAAAUCACGAUUUAACGGUUAUUUUAACUCCGAUUUUGAUGAUUUUUUACAGCUACACUCCUUGACCCUAUAUGAAUACAAUGAAUGAACUCGAUCUUCAAUUUAAAAUAUUCACACUAGUGGAUACCACAAAAUCUUAUGUUUAAUGAAAGUAUGAAUAAACUUUUAAGUAUUAGUGAAUCUAUUGUUUUGAUGGGAUACACAUUCUACGAAACUAGUUUCAACGAUCUAACUGUCAAACAUGAUUGUAUAUACGUCGAGAUCGCAUACGCCAAAAAUUGCAAAAAACAAACAUUCAGAGAUCAAGUAACGGGAUAAAACUUUUCGAACGUUAUCAACUAAAAAUCAUGAUUUAACGGUUAUUUUAACUCCGAUUUUGAUGAAUUUUUACAGCUACACUACUUGACCCUAUAUGAAUACAAUGAAUGAAUUCGAUCUUCAACUUAAAAUAUUUACACUAGUGGAUACCACAAAAUCUUAUGUUAUACUUAAUGAAAAUAUAAAUAAACUCUAGGUGUUAGUGAAUCUAUUGUUUUGAUGGGAUACACAUUCUACAAAACUAAUUUCAACGAUCCAACCGUCAAACUUGUUUGUAUAUGCUUCAAGAUCGCAUACGCCAAAAAUCACAAAAAACAAACAUUCAGAGAUCAAGUAACGGGACAAAAAAUUUCGACGGUUAUCAACUAAAAAUUACAAUUUAACGGUUACUUUAACUCUGAUUUUGAUGAUUUUUUACAGCUACACUCCUUUACCUUAUAUGAAUACAAUGAACGAAUUUGAUCUUCAAUUUAAAAUAUUUACACUAGUAGAUACCACAAAAUCUUAUGUCAUGAUGAUUGAUGAAAAUUGAGGAUUUUGUAAAAGGAAUAACAUGCAAGCUUUGAGUUCCAUUGGCAAGGUUUAAACUUUUGAGAAAGGCUUCACAACCUUGAAAACAAAAACUCUAUUAUUUUACAUAUCCUUGCACAUUUAAUAUUUGUAAUAGACUAGUAGUGUAUGGAUGUGGCAAUGUGUGGUAUGUGCAAAUUUAAGAAAAAAAGAUAUUUUUCUUAAUGAGUCAUAACGGGUCGGGUCACUUUACAACGGGUCAGGACACUUUACACGUUGGGUAAAGUGACCCGACCUGUUAAGGACCCGUUAAGAUAACGGGUGUGACACGAUACGACCCAUUAAGAUAAUAGGUGUUACACGAAAACGAUACAAACACGACAGACACGACCCGUUUGCCAGACCUAAUUAUAGUCAUGAUAUGACCGAAUAUAUUUGUCAAAAAUGCUAUUCAAAUGUAUAUAUUUUUUAAACUAAAUAAAUAAAUAAUUGUGACUAAUUUGAAAUUGUUGGAUAUAAUUUUUUUUAGGACAAAUUAAAAUGGAGCUCAGAAAGGUUGCAUAUGAUAUCACUGUUUUAAUCUCGUAUGUCCAGACAUAUAUUAGAGCAACACCAUCACUGCACCAACAGAAUAACACGUAAUCAAAAUAAUUAAACACUGAACUACUAAUUCAAUUUAAUUCAGUUUAAAAAGAAAAAUAUGAAAAUAUUUUGCAAAACUAAUAACAAAUAAUCCCCAGAGACAAUUCCACAUAAGUGGAAAUUGCAGACAAUAUACAUAGCAUCAAAUUAUGUCCGCCCGUCUGCUUUUCCUCUUCAUCGAUACAAUUUUUAGCACAAAUCCAUUAAAAGAAAUGCCAUUGAAAAUCCACAAAAAAUAUUAAAUUAUUUUAAAAUCAAUAAAAAAUGGCAAAGCAUAUAGUUGGAUAUAAUUAGGGAAGAUAAGUUGUAUAGCUUAUUAUUAUUAGUAUUAGAUGCAUAAAUUUCAUAAGUUGUAAAGAAACAAAAAGAGUUGCACAUGACGGUGGAUAUUGCAAUUUGCAAGAAUCUAAAGACUUUAUAAUCCACACUAUUUUAGAAUUACAACAAAAUAACAAAUACUAUUUCUGAAGCUGAACUAAAAUAACUCACACUAUUUUUGAAAAGGAAGAAAAUACACACUAAUUUUGGAACAACAACAAAAUAACCCACACUAUUUAUGAAACAAAACCAAAAUAAUCCACACUAUUUCUAAAACAGAACCAAAAUACUCCACGUUAUUUCUGGAACGACACGAAAUAAACACUGUUUCUGAAACUACAGUAAAAUAACUUACACUAUUUAUGAAAUAGAAUCAAAUUAAUAAAAACUAUUUCUAGAAAUACAGCAACAUAACUCAGCUAUUUCAGAAACUGAACCAAAAUAAUCCACACAAUUUCUAAAAAUACAACAAAAUAACUCACACUAUUUUUGAACCUGAACGAAAAUAAUUCAUACCAUUUAUGGAAUUACAACAAAAUAACCCACACUAUUUUUUAAACUGAAUCAAAAUAAUGCAUACUAUUUUUGGUAGGAAAAAAUAAACAUUAUUUUUGAGACAACAACAAAAUAACACACACUAUUUCAGAAACUACUACAAACUAACCAGCACUAUUUUUGAAAAUGAACAAAAUAAAGAGAGUUUUGACAAAAUAACCCAAUCUUGAUUCUUGAAUAUCGUUUGCCCGUCGUUCUCUACAAAAUGGUAGUCUUAUAUGUUGCUAUUUAAUAGUAGAAUCUAUAGAUGAAUUACUUUCGAUUUGGCUAUAUAUAUAACAACAUGAAAUUCAACUUCAUGAAUAAUAUCUGGGAGAAUUGCAUGAAGUUUUCAGUCCUCUCUCCUCUCUCCUCUCUCUCAUGCAAAAUCAUGGUUGCUAUUUUUGUUUCAGAAAACAUAGAAUAUUUUGAUAAAUAUGUUUUUGUUUUUUUGUUUUUUUUUUGUAUUCAUGGCCCUUUUUGGGAUUCUGCACAAUCUUGUGUCUGCCAUGAAUGGACAUAGACAGUAUAUGUUGACAUUCAUGUUCACACGUAUACAUAAUAAAUUAAAUAUGGAAUCCCCAUAUAUGAAUAUAAAAUAUAUAAAUAAAUUUGGGUAAAUUACACUUUACCACCUCAGGUUUGAGGUUUAUUACAACCUCAUUCAAUAUCUUCAAAACAUUUCACUUUCAUACCUCAAGUACUAUUUUAUUUCAAUAUAAUACAUCCGUUCCAUUUUCCAUCCAUUGAUCCGUUAAGAACUGACAUGGUUGGCACAUUUAUGCCAUGUGGCAAUUUUUUUUUUUUUUAAUAGUAAAAAAAAACCUGAAAACCCCGAAACCCAUUCCCCCAGACCACCUACCUCUCCUUCACUCUCUUCACCUCCCAUCCCAUCCAAAAACCCACCUCAUCCCACCCCACCCCACCCUACCCUUACCUUCCCCGCAAGCCCCACCCCACCCCACCCCACCCCACCCCCACCUUCAUCGAGCCUUUUCUCCUCUUUACCCCCACCCCCUUUCUCCCUUCUCUCAUCUGCAACACUACCCACCCUUCCCUUCUAUCCGUUACUUAUCAUCUUUCCCGACCCCUUCCCCUUCCCCGCAACCCAAACCCCCUCAUCUCACCCUACACCCACCUCCCUCGCAACCCCCCCCCAACCCCACCUCACCCCAAGCGAUCCCUAGAUCUGGACCUCGACAACCAGUCAACGACCCAUAUGCGCCGAACAACCCAGAAACCUCGAAUAUGGUGAUGGUCUUCUCACCGAGCUCGAGUCCUUCGGCCAGUCACACUAGGCCCUAUUAUUGAAGUCGUCGGCGAUGAAUGUUUGGCUAUGAGGAUGAAAGAGAUAAAGGUGGUUGCUCCGGUGGGAUGAAAGGAUUGACAUGGUGGUUGUAUGAGAUGGGUGGUGGUGAUAGAGAAAGAAAGAAAUGAAGUUAGGAGGCUCGGGAGGGAGAAGAUGGGUAGGGGGUUGCAGGAAGGUGGGGCUGGGGUUUUGAGGAUUCAGGUUUUGUUUUUUUGUUUUUUUUGGAUUAAAAAAUUAUUUUUUUUGCCAUGCACAAAUUUGGCAGCCAAGUGGCACAAAUGUAGCAUCCACGUCAGCUUUUAACGGAUCAAUGGAUGGAAAAUGUAACGGAUGUAUUAUGUUACAAUAAAAUAGUACUUGAGGUAUAAAAGUGAAAUGUUUUGAAGAUAUUGUAUAAGGUUGUAAUAGACCUCAAACAUGAGGUGGUAAAGUGUAAUUUACGCAAUAAAUUUUGUCAUAACCUUGGUUAGGGCCCACACAAAGAAAAGGAGAGUUUCCUUUAAACAAAGGCAAAGUUUUGUUGGGAUGGUGGAGCACUAGAAGCCUCAUCACGUUCGUGUUUAAUGAGAUAGUGGGUUAACUGAUGGGAUGAGCUUCUGUCAGGGGCAAGGCUGAAAAAUAAAGUUUUGCUUUUGCACAUGCGCCUGUAUUCUAGUUAUGAGAAUUUAAAUUUUUUUCCUCAUUAUAUUGUAUUAUGUCAUUUUUAUUAGGGUAAAUUACAUAAUACCCUAUCAGGUUUGAGGUCUAUUACAACCACAUACAACAUCUUUAAAACAUUUCAUUUACAUACCUCACGUACUAUUUUAUUUCAAAAUAAUACAUCCGUUAGAUUUUCCAUCCAUUUGUCUGUUAAAUGCUGACAUUGCUGCCACAUGGCAAAUUUUUUUUUUAUACAUUAAAAAUAUUAUAAUAUUAACCCUAUUAAAAAAAUAUCAGAAAAACCCAAACCCAGAAAUCCUUCCUCGCAACCCUACAUCCCACCCCACCCCCUUACCCAUCUCUUCCUUCUCGUCCGUCCAUCCCCUCCACCUCUCCAUCCAUCCCCUCCACCCGAGCACCCCUCAGCGUGGGUCCCACCUUGACCUCUCGAUCUCUCUCUCCCAGAAAUCCUUCCCCACAACCUCACAUCCCACCCUCACCCUCUUACCCAUCUUUUCCUUCCCGUCCAUCCAUCUCCUCCACCCUUCCAUCCAUCUUUCCACCUUUCCAUCCCCUCUACCUGAGCACCUCUCAGCUCGGGUCCCACCUCAACCUUUUUCUUUCUUUCUCUCUCUCUCAUUUCCUCCCCUUCUCUGCCAGAAAUCCUUCCCCGCAACCCCCAAUCCCACCCCCACCCCCAUACCCAUCUCUUCCUUCCCGUCCGUCCAUCUUAACUUCGACGACCUCUUCCUCUUCGACUUUUCCAACAUCGACCUCUCCUGCCUCGCCUCCCCCAACCUCCUACCUUGAGUCCGACGACUCAUCGGGGGGCCAACUACCCAACCCCUUCUCCUCGAUCCCCAAGUCCAUCGCUUCCUCCGGUUUCACCGCCAUUGCUGCCCACCUUCAGAGCUUCUCCGUCGACUUUGACUUUUUUGACAACCUGGGCAGGACUCUCUACGAGUUUGGGGGUUAGGUUAUUAGGGUUUCGGAGUGGGGAUUUUGUAAAUGGGUUGGUUGGUGGGUAGAAUUAGGUAUGGAAGUGCUUUAAUGGGGAUGAACCGCGAGCUGAACAAUGGAUUUUGUAAAUGGGAGUUGUAGAGAUAUGAGGGGGAAGGAAGGGGAUAUGGGUUCGGGUUUUUCUAAUUAUUUUAUUUAUUUAUUUAAAUAGAUUUAAUAUUAUAAUAUUUUUAAUGUAUAAAUUUUGUUUUGCCACGUGGCAGCCAUAUCAGCACAAAUGUGGCAGUCACGUCAGCAUUUAACAGACCAAUAUAUGGAAAAUCUAACGGAGGUAUUAUUUUUAAAUAAAAUAGUAUGUGAGGCAAGGUUCUAAAAAACGCUAGGCGCUAGUCGAGUGGUGGGCUAGCGCCUAGCGCCUAGACCGCCUAGGUGGAUUUAGAUAAAUUUCUUGUAUAUCUUGUAAAUAAGUACAUAUUGACACUUACAAAAAAUUAUACUUGUAUGAAAUCCAUGGAUAAGAUAAUAAAAGAAUGAUAAAAUGCAAAAAGAGUAUCCAACAAGUCCAAAAUUUAAAAACACAUUAAGCAUAUAUGCCAUAUAACCAUAGUGAGGAGUAUUGUUAGAUGACACAUGUACAACAAGUUCACAAUUUAAAAUAACAUAAAAUGGAAAAUAGGUGGAAAAUAAGGAAAUUUAGUAAUGUAAGAUACUUAUCUUUAGCAUCCCGGAAUUUAAGUUGGUACACAACACACAUAUUCUAUAAAAUUAACAAAAUUUCAAGGUAUAAUUAGAACUUAGACUUUAAACAAAUUUAAAAAAAAAAGAAAAAAAAAAGCCACCCAGCUGCCUAGGCCCACCUAGCCCGCUUAGGACUGCCUAGCCCACCUAGGGCCACCUAGAGCCACCUCGAUUUUUCCAGCCGUUUUGCACAAAAUCUCCUCGGUUCCAAGGCGCCUAGCGCCUAGGCGGCCGCCUAGGGCGUUUUUUAGAACAGUGAUGUGAGGUAUGAAAGUGAAAUGUUUUAAAGAUGUUGUAAUAGACCUCAAACCUGAGGGAGUAUUAUGUACUUUACCCUUUUUAUUAAAUCUCAAGCCCUUUACAUUAAAUAAAGUUAUAGGAUGAUUUUUUUUUAUUAAAAUAAACUUAGCCCAAACUCUUUUAAUUAAAGCUUAAAAAAAAAAAAAGAGAAAUAAGAGGGAAAAUAGGCUUGGUUUUAGGGGACGAGGUUUUCAAUAUAUUUGACUUUUAAGUUGGAUUUACAUAGUUUUGCGUUGAAAUUAAGCUAAUGAUUGAUUUUCUUUUUUGAGUACUUCGAUAUUUUUAUACUAAGGGGAGGGGUAGUUCGACAAAACCAUACAAUGAGCAGCCUAAUUUAGUAUCGAAUUCGCCAUCUACGAGAUUCGCUUCUAAGACCUCUCACUUUUAAGUGAAGAGGAAUACCACCAAAUCAUAGUACUGAGUGGCAGCUAAUGAUUGAUAUUGAGUUUAAAAAAUGAAUGCUCCAUAUAAAUAAAUAAAAAAAUUAUUAAUUUAUAUUAUUUUAUGAGAAUUUAUAUAUUAUUUAGUUCAAUUCAGUUCAAUUUUUGUACCAUCAAAAGUGAAACCGAACCAAUAAAUUUUAGUUUAGUUCGGUUUGGUUUUCUAGUUUCAAUUUGAUUUUUAAUUGGUUUGGUCUUCUUUAGUUUCAGUUUAGUGUUCGGUCUUUUUGUUUUUUUCUUUUCGGUUUUCCAAGCCCACCCCUUAGAUUAAGUUGCACAUAUAAACCGUCUUAUUUUCCAAACAUAUAUAUGUACAACGAAACAUCUUAAUAAUGUAGAGGUAUCUUUCCCUAAACGACAAAAAGGUUGCAUUCAUUUCCUUUUGUCAUUGGUUGUCCAAAAAUGUUACUCUUAUUUAUUUGUGUCAUCUUUCUAAUAAAGAUAUGAUCUAUAUACACUGGCAGGCCAUAUCUUUAUUAAAUAGAUGAUACAAAUAAGUGAUAAGUGUAAUAUUACUCUUGUUCAAGCAUCCCACGGCAAAAAAUAUGCAAUAGAUCUAGAAACAAAUGAGAGAGACCUAGAGAACCAUUAGGUUGUUAACAGAAAAAUAUUUAGACCGUUUGAUUUAAUCUAAAGGAUUGUUAUUAGCAUUUCUAAAAUUUCAUUUCACACUCCAAAUUUUCUAUAAUAAGAAAAAAAAAUACACUUGUGAGGAGUGUAUAAUGAGAUUUUUGGAAUGCUAAUAACACUUCCCUAAUCAUAAUAUGACAGUGAGAUUAGUAAUGGAGAUGAUGGCAUAAUACCUUAUUACGGUGAAAUCAAACUAAAUGUAUCUUAAUUGUUUCCUAUUAAGACUUAAUGAGUUGAUUUGUUAAUCUAUUUAGCUAGCUAUUCUAGAAGUUCUUGAAAGUCUUGAGAGCAACACCCCGCGUGUCAAGAUACAUGUGGGAAAUAAGUUCAGGCUUUCAACAAAAAUUUCAACUGGCCACUGUUUGUUGAACAGCAUUGCUGAUUCUAAGCUUAUUGAAUUGACUAUACAAAACGAGCAACUUAUAGAUAAAAAAAAGUGGUCAUGAUUAAUUAAUUACUUGCAUUCGUCACCUAAUUAGGUUCUUUUUUUUCUUUUUUUUUUUAAAUUUUGUGAAUGAUUAGAUAUCUAUUACAAGAUAAAAGAAGAUAAUGAAAAAGAAGCAGAGCUAGAAGAAGGAGACAAACGAUACUAGAACAAUAUAAUAGAAGAAGAACUACACAACAAAGACAACAUGAUGGAAGCCUAGAAGAGUUGAAAGUAGAUAAGCAAAAGUUGAAAGAGCAAAAUAAUAAUGCAAUAAGUGGGGAAUAUGUCACAAUAGCACUGUGCAAAGUUACAUACAAUAAGUCUAGCAUUAGGCAAAAAUAUAAACAUCACUAUGGGACCCACGAUAAUAAAUAAAAUAAUGACAUAAGAGUAAAUAAAAAAAUACUUAAUCCAUUAUGGACAUUUUCCACCAAAAAUUCCCUUUUAAUUAAAAAUAAAAUUGAAAGGAGUUUUCAUUAAAUUCCCUUUUUGUAAACGAUGAAUAAAAUACUUUGUAGAUUCCAUAUUUUAAUUUUAAUUUUAAUUUAAGAAAUGUUAAUGGGACUCUCUCAAAGUAAGACUAUCCAUGGACUCACUGCCACCUCAUAAUUUAACAUUUGUUCUUGUGCCAACAUUAUAAAACAUUGUGCUAAAAACAUGCGGUAGCAAAGAGUCCCUAGAGACUCCACCUUUUGAAAGAGCCUCCUUAACAUUUCUUAAAUUGAAAAAUGCUAAAGAGAUUCUUUCAAAGUGAGUCUUUUCAUGGACUCAUUGCCACCUAACAGUUUAACGUUUUUUCUUGUGCCAACAUUAUUAAACAUUGUACCAAAAACAUGAGGUGGCCAAUGUUCUAAAAGAUGCUAGGCGCUAGUCUGGCGGCGUCCUAGAGCCUAGCGCUAGACGGGGCCUAGGAGGAUUUACGUAAAAUCGUAUAAAUAAGUGACUAUUUAUAUUUAAAAAAAUACAUAAUUGUACUGAGAUACAUAGAUUACAAAAUAAAAUAACAUAUAGAUUAUUUUAAGUAAAUUUAUUACAUAUAAUAAUAAUAAUAAUAAUAAUAAUAAUAUGACUUAUGUGCAUAAGUUGAGGAAUAUUUCUUUUGGUUUUGUAACAUUUUUGCUUAGCCUAAUAUGUUUUAAUCAUUGUUAUGCCUUACUUUUCAUUAAAAAAAGAUUGAGCUUGUUUUCACAUUAAAUAAAUAAAUAAAAAUUUAUUCCCUAAUUUUAAAAGAACUACCAGCCAAUUUUAAAAUCUUUAACUCUAGCCCUAGCCAACAUAAACUCUGUGUUGUCGCACUUCUUCUCUGCAAUUGCAGAUUUGACAGAGCUCCGUCUCUCCCUUUGUCUCUUCCUCUCAUGUCAAAUGUUUUAGGCCGACUCCUCUUCUACGCACGUAGAGAAGGGAAAAGGAGCAGCAACAUGAAGACUACCUUUGCAACGAUAAUUUUUCUUGAGUUACAUAACCGCCCGGGGGUCGCUGAGGCCGCCUAGCCCUCCUAGGGGGCCGUCUAGGCGCCGCCUAAUAGUCUAGCCGACUUGUUGAAUGAUUUUGCUGAAUUGACGGCAGUCGGUCUCCGUCGAGUGCCUAGGUCGAUUUUUACAACACUGGAGAUGAUAGAGAGUCCCACUUUUUGGAGUCUCUUUAACAUUUCUCUUAUAAUUUUUGGAAACAAUUAUUUUUUGGGUACAAAUUUCUAGAAAGAUAUUUUUUGGAGAGUGCUAUCCAAGCACAUAUUUCUAUUUCUUACACAUCCCUCUUAAUUUCCUACUAUCGGAUUAAAUGAAUUGAAGAAGGUUAAUCGCAAAAAAUUAGCAAGGGUUUGUGAGAGAUAAAAUGUGUGGGUGAAUAUCACUACUUUAAAAAAAAAAGAAAAAAAAAAAAACACUCCCAAAGUAGCUUGGAUUCGGUAAGUGGGAUGAAUUUUUGUCUGUUAUUAUAUUUAGGAAGUGCUAUAUUCAUACAUUAUUUUUCACUUUUUACACAUCCUUACUAAUUUUUUGUCAUUAAUUUUUUUUUAAUUCAUUCAAUUUAACGGUCGAAAAUUAAGAAGAAUGUAUAAAAAAUACGAAUGAAUGUCUGGAUAGUGCUACCUUAUAUUUGUAGCGUUGAAGGACGUAACGGUUUGCUUGCCAGUUUUGCUUUGUUUGAUGGUGUUGAAGGACGUAACCAUGUGCUUUUCAAAUUCGCUUUGUUAGUUUAAAUAGUCUCAUAUAUUCCAAUGUUGGUUUUCGAGUAAAAAUAAAACAAAAAACAUUCCAAUGUUGGUGGGCUGAUAAGUUUUGAUUAUGCUUUCUUGCUUAAUUUCCUGCCCUCCUCGUGUACCCGCAGGAAUCCCACGAUUCCAGAAGUCCUCGCUUGAGAGCGCAAAAUAUAGCCAUCAUGUGAUGGAAGAAAGACCAUACGGUAAAUGCUACACUUACUAUUAUGAUGUACUAUCACUUAUAUCAUAUCUCUAAUAGAGAUGGAUUUGCUAACGCAUGUGAGUCUCAUCUUUAUCAGAGAGAUGAUAAAGUGAUGAUACAACUAGAUGAUGAGAAUAGCAUUUUUGCAUAAAAUAUGGUUGAUAUUUUGACUUGCAAAAAUAUGGGUGGUGCCGGUGGCACUCUCAAUACUUGCGAGGACUUCUGCAAUUGUGGGUUCAAAAUUCAGUGGUAAAUGGCGGAUUACGAGACUUUUUUAAAACAAAAAACUGGAGGUUUCGGGUUCGAAAUCCGCUGCUGGUGUGGAAGCCAAACUUAUGGCUAAAGAGAGGCUGAAAUGCCUAUGUGAGUUUUCUUGACUUUCAAAAGAGAUGAAUAACCGUGACUUAUCAUCAGUUUUCCUUAUUUUUAAAAUUAAAAAAAAAAAAAAACAUUGUUGAAAAGGAAGAACUGAUCUUUGAUUAUCAAAUUGUUGGAUACUCUUAUAGACCUAUUAUCAAUGUCUAAAAUAUCGAUAUUAUCCCGAUAUUUCCAUCGAAAUUUCCGUGUUUUUGGAGUACCGAUAUUUCCGAUAUCAUCGAUAUUUUAGACCUUGAUAGGAACUCUAUGUGGUAAUAAGUCACUCAUGUAUCUUACCAUGCAAUGUAUGAAGUGUAAAAUAUUGUACUAAUUCAUUAUAUAUAAAUGAUAUGGUGUGUUUAAACUUCUUUCAUUAAUUACUACAUAUUUUCUACACUCACAAUGUUUGUCAACUCGCUAUAUAAUCAACUUAAAUCAGUUAAAUCCAUUAUGCAAUGCAUUUCCUUCCAAUUUUUUUUUGUGAUAAACUAAUAGAUUAUUGACUAAAUAAACAUUCUGCAAAGUUUCAAUAAAAAUUUCCAGGUUUUUCUUAAAAUUUCCGUGGUUUUUAUUCAAUUUUUUUCGAUAUCGAUAAUAUCCCGAUAUUUCCAUCGAAAUUUCCGUAUUUUUAGACCACCGAUAUUUCCGAUAUAAUCGAUAUUUUAUAUCUUGCCUAUUAUAUAACUCUUAUAGACUCAUCAUUUCAUCUCAGAAACUUCAUUUUGAAAUUGAUUAGUUUAGUACUUAAAUAUAUUGUAGAAUAAUUAGAUAGCUAAUUUCUCAAAAAAAAAAAAAAAAUACUACUUUAUUCUUGUAGACUGGUCAUUUCAAUGUUAUUUUUUUUUUAAUCUCGAUACGUAUGAGAAGGUUGGCCACCGACACCAAAUUAAUUAGUGAUUCCUAAAGCUUACUUCUGGAUUUGGACCCCAUCUGCAUCAUUUUUGUCAUGAUCCUAAGAAUCAAAUCUUAUCCGAUAAUUUAUCAAUCACAAAUUAUUUUAUUUAAAAUUAAACAUAAACAAUGUCUAACAAAAAUUGAUCGUAUAAUGUACGAUAAACGGAUAAAAUAUGAAGAUCCUCACAAACAGAAUCCGGAGAAAAUCCUCAUUCCUUACUUAUAUAACCAUACAUAACUUUCAUAAAAGGUGGGCUGGACAACGAACACGUUGAUUUAUAAUACGGAUUAUGAACACGAGAAAGUUGAUGACAUACGUCCCAGCUUCUCAGUGUCUAGCUAGCUCUAUAAAAUGGAACCAUUUCCUUCAUUUAUCAUCACAAAAGUUUCAUCUCGAUCGACUUACUUAUAAUUCUUUUUACUCAUCCUCUUCUGAUAUACAUAAUAUUCUCUGAGUCUUUGAAAUUUGAAGAUAUGGCUCCAGUUGCUACUCAAACCAUGGAUGUAAAGAGCAUCAAAUCGCUUGCGGAAUCACCCGCUCUCUGCUCUGUUCCUUCUGCUUAUGCCUUCAACAUAAACCCCAAUGAUGAAGCAGAUCCAAACGAUCCCGAAUUUGCAAUCCCUAUAGUUGAUAUGUCUCUUCUCACCUCGGGAUCUCCUGAUCAACGCUCCAAAAUAAUCCACGACCUGGUCAAAAUUUGCAAAGAAUGGGGCUUCUUCAUUGUAAGUAGUUUAACUAAGUACUAACUACUUCAGUUAUUUUUUAGGAGAAAUAUUUGAGUGACGGUUGCUAGUGUUUUAGAGUUACUGGUAGCAAUUUGAUAAAGAAAACAACAAAAAUGAUACUUUUGUCACAUUUUCGAUAAAUCAUUUGUAUCGUCUCUCUAAUAAAGAUGAGACCCAUAUGCGCCUUUAUUAGAGAGGUGGGACAAAUGUGGUACAAAAAAUGUAGUAAGUGUAGCAUUACUUGAAAAAAAAGCAAGCUAAUUAAUCUUGGUCACGAUGUAUUCAUUACAGGCAAUUAACCAUGGAGUCCCAGAGAGUCUAAUGAAGGGGAUGAUUGACGCGUGCCAUGGAUUUUUCAGCCUCCCAGACGAAGAGAAGGAGGAGUUCAAAUCCGGAAAUGAUGUGCUGGACAUGUUCAAGUACGGAACCAGCUACAAUCUUGCAUUAGACAAAGUCCUUCUCUGGAGGGACUUCUUCAAGGUGAGAGUACAUCCCGAGUUCUACUCCCUCUACAAACCGGCUUGCUUCAGUGAGGUUUCAAUGGAGUUCAGCAAGAGAACAAGAGAAGUAGCAUUGGAGAUAACACGCGCAAUCUCCGAAAGUUUGGGACUGGAGCCCAACUACAUACAUGAUGCGAUGAACAUGGAUCGCGGCCUACAAAUGCUCGCCGCCAACUACUAUCCGCCUUGCCCUCAGCCAGAACAUGCAAUUGGUAUACCACAUCACACUGAUCAUGGCCUUGUCACCCUCCUCAUCCAGAAUGAGAUGAAUGGCCUCCAAGUUGAACAUAACGGCAAGUGGCUCACCGUCAGUGGCGCUGCCAACGGUUUCUUUGUCAACCUCGCUGACCAAAUGCAAAUUCUUACUAAUGGCAAAUACAAGAGUGUGAUGCAUCGGGCAACUGUGAACAACAAAGCUACGAGGAUAUCUAUUGCCAUACCACAUGGACCAUCAAUUGAUACACUUAUCGCACCGGCACCGGAGUUACUGGAAAAAGAAGGCCAAGCUCCGAAAUAUGUUGGAAUGAAUUAUAAGGAAUAUAUCCAGCUUCAACAGAGCGGCAAGAACUACAUGAAAUCCACCUUUGAUCACAUACUAGCGUAACUGAGCUUUAUACAGAGUCCCGUGGCUUGGUCACACUUCAAACGAUCUCAACCAUAUUGAAAGAGCUGCAGCCCUUUUGAUUUCUUUUUCUUCGAACUGUUUUAGUCUUUUGUUUCAAUGAUCACGUCAUAUCGGUGUUGGCUUGAUGUGUUGUUAGCACCAAACAGCCUUGUAGUUCAAUAAUAUUAAACAUCGCAGACUAGCAGCUGGCUUCGAUUGAAACCAUUUGCUUGCCCGUUUUGCUUUGUUUUAUAGUGUUGAAGGACGU
rnacentral:lncRNA from 1 species